rnacentral:lncRNA from 10 species
UUUUUUGCCGUCUGGUCAUCCUCGUCGGUCUUCUGCUUCUGGGUAUCGACAUCGUUAUCCUCAUCAUCUUCAGCUGCCCGCUUGCCCGUAGCUGACUCAGCUCCCUCAUCUUCAUCUCCAUCCUCUUCCUCACCAUCACCUUCUUCCUCCCCACCUUCUUCCUCUUCUUCAUCUACCUCGUUGUCAGCCUCCGGCUCCCCAUUUUCCUCAUUAGCAUUCCCGUGAGCAGGGGCGUCUCUUCCAUUUUCCGCCUCUUCCACAACUUCCUUCUUCUCCUUUAAGUCCUCGGUGGUGAUUUCGGAGCUGGUGUCUACGGCUGCGUCUGACAUGGUGGGGCACGCCGGUGACGCGAUGCAGGGGAUAAAAAAGAAAGCGACAGUUCAGGGACUCUGGCGAUAAAGCUGCCGGAGUCCGCGGCGGCGGAGGCGGCUGCGGCGAGCAAGGAGGCUGACGACGCACAAUGCAAAGACGGCUUUUCAGAGCAGCCAGUGGGGCAGGACAAUGUUUUUCAUCAAAUGUCCUUAGAUUUGGAGGAGGUUUCCCCAGUGUAUCCAGUGGUUGUCUUCCUCUUGAUUAAUAUUAAAGGAGGAGAAAAAGUGUGUAUUGGGGUCAGUGCAGAAAACAAAUCAUCCAAGCACACGAAGUGGAAUUUGCUAAUAGCAUUACUACUCACCCAGUGACUUCGGAGUCACAACCCAGGACACGGUUUUCCGCCCAUUUCUACAGACACAGUGAGAUUCUUCAUUCUUCUCUGUUGGAACAGCCAGGAAAGCGGAAGAGACCUCCAGCUGCACAACGACCUGUCCCCCACACCCAACCACAAGUUUAUGAAGGGAUGCAGAACAGCAUGAAUACUGCAAAAGAUGCUCUGUGCAUCAGGUAAAUGGACUGAGGGACAAUGUCCAUGAGUCCAGAGGCGCUGAGAAGCUGUGCAAAUAUGGUCAGCUCUAUCAGACACUUUGUAGUUUAGGUGUUUGAAACAAGAAAAUUGAAAAACUGACAGGAAUUAGGAUAAGUGUUUAGGAUUUAGCCUUGUGCCAACAGAAGAAAGAGGUGUUUAGUGAAAAACAUGAAACAAUCAGGUGGACAUAAUGUCUGAAUUUAGGAAUACACAGAUAUAGGAGCCUGAAUGAAUAUAACCUUACCACCUUGGGCCUGUCAGGUACCUUUUCUCUUAGUACCAGGUCUGCUCCAAAAUUAGGAUAUAUCAUAUGCAGUUCUGAUUUCCUGGGUUACCUAGGAGACCUGGUAAUGAAUGGUGACUAUCUUCUAUUCUCAUUCACUUCCAGAGAAGUGUCCUUACCCGAAUGCAGGUGGACAAGCAGUUAAACACAGUGGCUUUGAGUGUGAAGGCUUCUCCUCGCACCACAGAAUAAGGAAGGGUGAGUUCUAGGAAGAAAGGCUGGAAGGCUUGAAGAGACACGAUAGGAGAGAGGCCAAACCCUGUGGUUCCAGACAAGCAGAAUGCGCUGGCCUUCCACUCUGUGAUGGUUUCAGGGACCUGGUCACCAGCUCACUUAUACCUAAUGAGCUAGUGAAGGAGCAGAGAAGAGGAGUAUAAGCAAAUCUUUUUUUUUUUUUUUUAACACAAAGCAUGGCUGAUCCUAGAACAUGAUAACUCAGUAACCUAGUGUGGUAAAUGCUAAACUUGAUCUAAGGGUUGGUGCUCCUGGUGAGGUUUAAAGUUUUUUUUCUCCCUACCUCCCUUACUCCCUCCUUCCCUCCCUCCCUUUAUUUCUUCCUCUUUUCUUUCAUUCUUUCCUUCCUUUUGUUCUUUCUUUCAAUCUCCCUCCCCUCCCCUUCCCUUUCCUUUAUUUAAGAGGGCUGGUAGCAUCCUACUUUCUAUUAUCUUAGUUAUCAAUAGACUAAAUUAGAAAAAAAAUUAGCAUUGUUUAAUUAUGAGAUAAAUGAACUAUAAACCUAAAUAUUUACCAGAAAAGAGCAGAGCAGAACUAAAAGGAUCAGGAAUCCAGGAUAACAUCAGUCAUACAGCAGGAUUCAAACCCUCUCCUAAACUAAAUUCCAGGCAACACACAACUUACUCAACUACCACCAAAUCCCAGAUCCAGGUCUCAGGGAAGUACUUCCGGACUAUCUCUUUCACUUGCAAUAUCUGAGGUUCUUCUUCGAUCAUUGGGUACAUUAUUUCUACGGCUCCUGGGGGUACACCUCGCAGACCUGGUCCUGGAAGACAACACACAGGCCUCAGUGUGAACCUCAUUUUUAUCAUCAAUUUCUUAUUGCUGCCUUAUUUCUCAAAUGGAAUAAGGUCAUACGCUCAGGGAAUGUUUAUUAUUGGAACAAUUUAACCUACCAGCUUGUUAUUUUGUUCACUUUCCUAUAAAAAGGCUAAUCCUAUUUUUUCUUCAAAUAGAAUCUAGAGCUAAAUAUAUUUUUCUUUAUAAAUAAAAACAAAUGACCUGUACAUGUACCUCCUGAAUCUAAAAUAAAAGUUGAUUAAAAAAAAAC